CAAGUCGAACGAUUAAAGCCCUCUUCGGAGGGUGCAUAAAGUGGCGCACGGGUGAGUAACACGUAAGUAAUCUACCCUCGAGUGGGGAAUAACAUCGGGAAACCGAUGCUAAUACCGCAUAAUGCAGCGGCACCGCAAGGUGACAGUUGUUAAAGGAUUUAUUCGCUUGAGGAGGAGCUUGCGGCAGAUUAGCUAGUUGGUAAGGUAAUGGCUUACCAAGGCCACGAUCUGUAGCCGGUCUAAGAGGACGGUCGGUUACACUGACACUGAAUAACGGGUCAGACUCCUACGGGAGGCAGCAGUCGGGAAUUUUGGGCAAUGGGCGAAAGCCUGACCCAGCAACGCCGCGUGAAGGAUGAAGUAUUUCGGUAUGUAAACUUCGUAAGAAUGGGAAGAACAAAUGACGGUACCAUUUGUAAGCCCCGGCUAACUACGUGCCAGCAGCCGCGGUAAUACGUAGGGGGCAAGCGUUGUUCGGAUUUACUGGGCGUAAAGGGCGCGUAGGCGGCUUGACAAGUCACUUGUGAAAUCUCCGGGCUUAACUCGGAACGGCCAAGUGAUACUGUCGUGCUAGAGUGCAGAAGGGGCAAUCGGAAUUCUUGGUGUAGCGGUGAAAUGCGUAGAUAUCAAGAGGAACACCUGAGGUGAAGACGGGUUGCUGGGCUGACACUGACGCUGAAGCGCGAAAGCUAGGGGAGCAAACGGGAUUAGAUACCCCGGUAGUCCUAGCCCUAAACGAUGAAUACUUGGUGUCUGGAGUUUUUAUCCUCCGGGUGCCGUCGCUAACGUUUUAAGUAUUCCGCCUGGGGAGUACGCUCGCAAGAGUGAAACUCAAAGGAAUUGACGGGGACCC
rnacentral:rRNA from 1 species